AGAUGGGAGGGCCAUCUGGCUGCAACAUCUGUCACCCCAUUUGUCACAAAGGUUGGUUCGGCUGAUGUGGCUGGCUAGGCAGGUAUUCCCUUCCUCCCUUACUGUUCCAUGUGCAUCCCUCCCAAAGCUGCACACUUGAUCAAAGAGGAUGAUCUUCCCCAAUAGAAUAGGACCGGUCUUUGGUCAAGGAUAUACAAGGAACAGUGAUCCUGUACUAGAACCCCCAAUCAAGCUCAGGAGGUGCAGGUAGAGGAAGAUCACUACCCGAGGCUGGCCUGG
rnacentral:snRNA from 1 species